AAGCUUUGGCAGCACACAUACUAAAAUUGGAAGGAUACAUAUGUAGAUUAGCAUGUCCCCUGCUCAAGGAUGACACACAAAUUUAUGAAGCACUCCAUACUUUU